rnacentral:rRNA from 1 species
AAAGGAAUAGACGGGGGCCCGCACAAGCGGUGGAGCAUGUGGUUUAAUUCGAAGCAACGCGAAGAACCUUACCAGGACUUGACAUCUACUUGACGUUAUCUGGAAACAGAUAACUGUCUUCGGACCAGGUAGACAGGUGGUGCAUGGUUGUCGUCAGCUCGUGUCGUGAGAUGUUGGGUUAAGUCCCGCAACGAGCGCAACCCUUGUCCUUAGUUGCCAGCACAUUUUGGUGGGCACUCUAAGGAGACUGCCGGUGAUAAACCGGAGGAAGGUGGGGAUGACGUCAAAUCCUCAUGCCCCUUAUGUUCUGGGCUACACACGUGCUACAAUGGCCUGUACAACGGGUUGCAAUGGGGUGACCUGGAGCUAAUCCUUUAAAACAGGUCUCAGUUCGGAUUGCAGGCUGCAACUCGCCUGCAUGAAGUCGGAAUCGCUAGUAAUCGCGAAUCAGAAUGCCGCGGUGAAUACGUUCCCGGGCCUUGUACACACCGCCCGU